GCCCUUGUAGCCCAAUCGGCAGAGGCACACGACUCAAAAUCGUGACAGUGUGGGUUCGACUCCCACCAAGGGCACCC
rnacentral:tRNA from 4 species